GACGAACGCUGGCGGCGUGCUUAACACAUGCAAGUCGAACGGAAAGGCCCUGCUUUUGUGGGGUGCUCGAGUGGCGAACGGGUGAGUAACACGUGAGUAACCUGCCCUUGACUUUGGGAUAACUUCAGGAAACUGGGGCUAAUACCGGAUAGGAGCUCCUGCUGCAUGGUGGGGGUUGGAAAGUUUCGGCGGUUGGGGAUGGACUCGCGGCUUAUCAGCUUGUUGGUGGGGUAGUGGCUUACCAAGGCUUUGACGGGUUGCCGGCCUGAGAGGGUGACCGGCCACAUUGGGACUGAGAUACGGCCCAGACCCCUACGGGAGGCAGCAGUGGGGAAUAUUGCACAAUGGGCGGAAGCCUGAUGCAGCAACGCCGCGUGCGGGAUGACGGCCUUCGGGUUGUAAACCGCUUUCGCCUGUGACGAAGCGUGAGUGACGGUAAUGGGUAAAGAAGCACCGGCUAACUACGUG
rnacentral:rRNA from 1 species